rnacentral:rRNA from 1 species
GGCUCAANCAAUGUAUGCUUUGGAAACUGUUAGACUNGAGUGCAGAAGGGGAGAGUGGGAUNCCAUGUGUAGCGGUGAAAUGCGUAGAUAUAUGGAGGAACACCGGUGGCGAAAGCGGCUCUCUGGUCUGUCACUGACGCUGAGGCUNGAAAGCGUGGGUAGCGAACAGGAUUAGAUACCCUGGUAGUNCACGCCGUAAACGCUGAGUGCUAAGUGUUAGGUCCUUUCCGGGACUUAGUGCUGACGCUAACGCAUUAAGCACUCCGCCUGGGGAGUACGACCGCAAGGUUGAAACUCAAAGGAAUUGACGGGGGCCCGCACAAGCGGUGGAGCAUGUGGUUUAAUUCGAAGCAACGCGAAGAACCUUACCAGGUCUUGACAUCCCGAUGCCCGCUCUAGAGAUAGAGUUUUUCUUCGGAACAUCGGAGACGGGUGGUGCGUGGUUGUCGUCAGCUCGUGUCGUGAGAUGUUGGGUUAAGUCCCGCAACGAGCGCAACCCUUAUUGUUAGUUGCCAUCAUUAAGUUGGGCACUCUAGCGAGACUGCCGGUAAUAAACCGGAGGAAGGUGGGGAUGACGUCAAAUCAUCAUGCCCCUUAUGACCUGGGCCACACACGUGCUACAAUGGUUGGUACAACGAGUCGCAAGCCGGCGACGGCAAGCUAAUCUCUGAAAGCCAAUCUCAGUUCGGAUUGUAGGCUGCAACUCGCCUACAUGAAGUCGGAAUCGCUAGUAAUCGCGGAUCAGCACGCCGCGGUGAAUACGUUCCCGGGCCUUGUACACACCGCCCGUCGCACCACGAGAGUUUGUAACACCCAAAGUCGGUGAGGUAACCAUUUAUGGGGCCAGCCGC